rnacentral:lncRNA from 1 species
UCCACCUUUCCUCCAUCUCAAAGGUGCUCAAAUGUUUGACAAAAGGUGACCGGUAGAUGGACCAAUAUUGAGGCACUUACUAGAGGAAACUCAGGACACUUUCUCACUGUCCUGCAGUCGUACAAUCUUGCAAAGCUCAAGUGAUGUGAGCAAGGAAAGGGAAAAAAAUUUAUUUAAAGGGAGAAUUAGCCAAGAGGAAAAAUUUCUUCCUAAACCAUAUGAUAUCUUAAAGGAAGAGGAAAUUCAAUCUCAUUCCUUAAAGAACUAAUCCCACGGUUUAGGAAAGAUAUGGAUAACAUUUUUACUCUUUUAAUGACAAGCCAUAAUUUACCAUAUUUAUUUCCCCCAAUUUCUCUACAAUUGAUUAAAAUAUUCGCUUUUAAAGAGAUAAGAUCUUAUUCAAAGUUUUCUUAAUUUUCAUUAUUUUUUCAUUCAAUGUGAUUUAAUUUUCAUGUAAUUUUUUACCAUUAAUUUAGCAGAUUUAUUUCUUUGUAAUGCACAUGACAUACUCUAUAACUAAGUUUUCAAUUCACAAUUGUAAUCAUUCAAGUUUGAGAAUAAUAAAAUUAUGAAAUUUUAGUUUUCAACUAGUUAGGUUUCGUCAACCUUCUUGUUGAGUGAGAAUUGAUUUAACUUAUCAAACUAAAUUCUUGUGGUGUUUUAUCAAUUUUCUUUCGAAUUGAUUUCUAACUUAUCAAGUCCAUACUUGUGAUUUUUUAAUCAAUUUUAACUAUCUCAAUUACCUUGGUUGACAUUCACAUAUUUGAAUGUAGGUCAAGUAGGGAGCGUUUGUUGAAAGUUUUAUGAUACUGAAUACUGAUGUUAUAUGUGGGGUUCUUAAUCGUGUUAAUUGAUCCUAAGUUCCGUAUUAUCAUGGUAACAGGUGGG